GGAAUUUCAAGAUGUUUCAAUGAAAUAUUUAUCCUUUUUAAAUGAAUUACUGCUUUUGUGCUACAUAUGUAUAUGCAUGAUAUAGAGUAGUUUCUUCUUCUAAGAUAUCAUUUCUAUUUUCCUAGAUAACAUCAUUAAAUUCAUUAUCCACCUCAAUUCCCUGGGUUAAUUUCCUAGAAAAUAUUUAAACACAGGACACUUAACUCACCUGAUAAUUUUAAGACUCAUUAUAGUUUGUGUAUAAUAGCAGUAUGCUAAAAUAAAUGUAAGUCAAGUUUAGACAUAUAUAGUGAAAUCAAGACACAUGUAGAAGGAGGGAAAAUGACUAUUAAAUAUUUUUAAACAGAAUAACUGUAGCUAUGCACAGGAAAAGUUUUGCUACAGUAAAAAAAAUCAAUGAUAUAUGUUUCACUUGUAUUAUUUCCAUAAACUAAUGAUUGAUUAUCUUACCAAAAUGACCAGGGCACAGUAAUAUUGCCAAUAACAGAUCAAAUAAUGCAUUACAUUUUGAGGAAAAAUAUUG
rnacentral:lncRNA from 1 species